rnacentral:rRNA from 1 species
UGGGGAAUCUUGCGCAAUGGCCGAAAGGCUGACGCAGCGACGCCGCGUGUGGGAGGACGCUCUUCGGGGUGUAAACCACUGUUGCCCGGGACGAACAGUCUCUUUUGAGGGACCUGACGGUACCGGGUGAGGAAGCACCGGCUAACUCUGUGCCAGCAGCCGCGGUAAUACAGAGGGUGCGAGCGUUGUCCGGAAUCACUGGGCGUAAAGGGCGCGUAGGCGGCCCAGUAAGGUCGCGGUGAAAGCCCGGGGCUCAACCCCGGGUCGGCCGUGGCAACUGCUGGGCUGGAGCACAGUAGAGGCGGGUGGAAUUCCGGGUGUAGCGGUGGAAUGCGUAGAGAUCCGGAAGAACACCGGUGGCGAAGGCGGCCCGCUGGGCUGUGGCUGACGCUGAGGCGCGACAGCGUGGGGAGCAAACAG